UACGAAGGGAGCUAGCGUUGUUCGGAAUCACUGGGCGUAAAGCGCACGUAGGCGGAUGUGUCAGUCAGGGGUGAAAUCCCGGAGCUCAACUUCGGAACUGCCCUUGAUACAGCACGUCUUGAGUCCGGAAGAGGUGGGUGGAAUUCCUAGUGUAGAGGUGAAAUUCGUAGAUAUUAGGAAGAACACCGGUGGCGAAGGCGGCCCACUGGUCCGGUACUGACGCUGAUGAGCGAAAGCCAGGGGAGCAAACGGG
rnacentral:rRNA from 1 species